UGUUUGCUGAGUAGAAUAAAAUUAGGUGAAGAUAAUAACUUAAAUAGUUUUGUUCAUUUGAAGUGUAAUCUUUUUAAGAUGAUCAUCCUACCUUACUUUAUUUAAUUUGUGCUCGCCUUACAAAGAUAGAGCAAAAAUUAGUUACAUGUCUUGCGCAGCUAAAAAUGAUACUGAAUGUUGUUCGCUCAUCAGAUAUUGCUGUCACAUUACCUGCGAAUAUAUCAUUGCCAUUGCGUACCAUCACACAAUUAGAACAUCUUGAGCAGAUUCUACUCGAAAAAGCUUCAAUGGAUGCAGUGGUUAUGCAUCUUGGUCAGAUCGGUGGGCGAACUGUUGCGGAGACAGU